AUAUAUACAUAUUAAACUUGGACAAUGCUAAGGAAUAGUGUCCUCAUGCUAAUUUGUGCAGGAAUAGGAACAGUGACUUCAUGUUAAAUUGCGCAGUGUAUUGGGAUCUCCUCUCAAUACUUCUCGAAGCUUUCAUUCCCACUGCCACUAUUCUCCACCGCCUUAAGCGGCUGUCAUUCGUUACUUGCGACGUGUUAUGUUCUGCUUCCACCGCCCACUGCUUCCAAUUGCAAACGAACAACAGAUAAUAUAUUGCUACCUCUUUCCUCCACUGGCUUAUCUAACUGGAUUAAUCCUUACCCUACGGAAGCUCCCUUCAUACCACAAACCGAUUUUCGACCUCAAAGCUAAGCUCAAGAUUAGGGCUUUGUUUUUGCUUCUUGGGUAAACUGAAGCUUACAUCCGCGACCAUCCUGCUACCGUGUUCUACUAUACCAUUAUGCGAAAUCAAGUUUUUCACCACCCGAUGGUAUCAUAUCAGAACUUUGACGCCGUCACCGAGAACAACUAAAGUCUCUACCGGUGGAGAUUUGGGAAUCAUCAAGACAUGAUGUCCGAGUUAUGAAAGUCUCUCAAUUCCUGUGGAUAAAAACUCUGAAGGCAGUUUUAGUCGAGGACAUGAUUGAUAUAAGAGCAUCAUCUUCCUUUUUAUGACUUUUAAAUUUCACUUUUUAUGCUUAUGACACCAUAUUUGUUCUUAUGUCGACUUUUUUUUUUGGGUUGUUUGUAUCUCAGACUGUAAAUGACUUCGUUUGAAGGUCACCGAGCUUAGGAUUGCAGUUGGUUGAUAGGGCGAUACAGGUAUUGGAACAAUUUGGAAUGGUAUGCUAACUUUGAUUACGUGUUGAAACAUUUGCCCACCAAUUGUUUGUUAAAAGUUUUUACUAAAUUCAUAUUUUUUAUGUCGUCUCUAACCGAAACUUAUCAUCUAUUGGUUUAUGAGAUUUACUCAAACAAACUAAUCAAAGAAUGAAAUAAUGGUUUUUGUGUUUGAAACCCAGGUACAACUUUGUUCCAAACAGACAGAUACAAUUGGAUUUUUGAAGUCAAAGUGAUGCAACUUCCUCUCCUCUUUCAGCAGAAAAAUCAACAACUGUGACAAAAAUACCCUUUUGGCCAAAACUUACUGUAUUUGCUUCAUAUAAUGAUUACUUCUUCAAUUUUUCGUUGUGUGUGUGCGUAUGUGUGUUUUGGUUAAAGAUUUUUGAUUGAUCGUUGACUCAGUUGCACUGGAACUUUGGAAACAAAUAUUUUCGUGUCCACCAACUCUUCAAUUGCACCGAUAUCUCCUAUUCCAUACCAAUUUUUCACUGGCUUAGAUUAACUCUUUUCUCAUUUUUCAAAUGGGUGAAACAGCUUACAGCAUACUACCUGUAUAUAUAUAUUUUUUUAAUUCCAACUCUCCAAACUGGAAGGAAUAUUCCUGCAACACAGUCCAUUGUAGGUAAUGAGUGUUUGCAUCCUUUUGGGUCGGGGAA